AGUAGAUAAAAACUGGGAUAAAUUGGGAGGGUCUUUGGUGUCUACUGAGAGCCUGACGCUCUGCCUGGGAAUCCCAGUGUGGCCAAUACUCCAGCCACGAUCUACUUCCCUCACUUCCUUGGACAGUCUCCUCCCUCCCUCCCUCCCUCUUUCUUUUUUCUCUUAACCUGGAAUGACACCCUGCCCAUCCUUCAACGUCCCAGGCCUUACCUGUUCCCUAAACCUCCCUAACGCCCUCCAGCCGGGCACACUGUCCCUCACAGUCUCCUUGAACUUCUGUCAUGGCUUUUAGCUUUGCUCAUUCAAGUCUGAUUUGUCCCAAUAUGCUUAGAUGCCUCUGAGUAGGACCCUGUGUGGUGAUUAAUCUGAGGUCCUGUAGUCAGUUCUAGUAAAAAUGAUACUAUUUUACUGAGUGGAUGUUGUUUAUUUUGUAUUAUAGCUUUUGCAAACUUGUAGUUUUCUAUCUCCUUAUCCACCUACGGAUAACCUUUCUGCACAUCUUUUGGUUUUUGUAAAAUUGGGAUAGUAGUAUUAUUGACUUCGGAUUUUCUGAGAUGAGUUAAUUUAAUUUAUGUAAAGUGCUUAUAACUACCUGUCACAGAGUAUGUGCUCAGUAAAUAUUAUUUAUUACUAUUAUUGUAAUUAUUGUGAUCUCAACAUCAUUAAGAUAACAACACUUCUCCACCCCGACUUCAUGCCCAGGCUCCUGCCACAGAGGAUGCUUGCCUUGGCUUUUCACGGGGAUGCAUGAAGAAGUGAACCUUGUGACUCUUGGCUUGGAGGCUGGGUGUAUGAGGCUUCCAUCUCAAGGUUACUUCAUGGCCCAAGACUGCUGUUGGAGCUCCAGCUGUUACAGCAGCAUCUCAGCAUCAUGCUAUUGAGGUUCAUGUCCGCUGUAGUGUGUUGCUCUUCCCCACCCACUCUACUGGGCUGCUCUGUCCAUUCUUCAAGUCUCCGUGUAAACGCCACUUCUCCUCGGACACCUUCACUGGUAUCUUGGACUGGGUAGGACUAUUUGUACUCUUCCUAUGAACUUCUCAUACAUGAUACUCAUCACACCUCAUGCGAAUUCCUCUUUCUGUUGGU